UGGUGUUCUAGGUCUUAGGGAUCAAAAAAGAUGAAGACCACAAGAUUUUAGAAGUUUACUCUCUGGUAGCGAGAGACACGUGAACAAAGAAGUGAAAUGCAAUCUUAGGUGAAUCUUCAAGAUUGAUCCAGAGUUCAGUUUGGCUCAAAGAGGGACUGGUCAGUCCUGGAGAGCAGAGGUGGGAGGCUUAAGAGAGGAGAUGCUUGUUGGACUGAGUCUAAAAAACUGAGGUGAGCAGAAUCAAAGCCGCAAACCCUCAACAAGGGUGCAAGAUGUCUAGAAGAACAGAGGAAGCCAUUUAAAAUGCUCAAAAAAUAAAAUGAAAUAAAAUCAGAGACCAGUGGG
rnacentral:lncRNA from 1 species